rnacentral:rRNA from 1 species
UACAGAGGGUGCGAGCGUUAAUCGGAUUUACUGGGCGUAAAGCGUGUGUAGGUGGCUUCCUAAGUCGGUUGUGAAAUCCCUGGGCUCAACCUGGGAAUUGCAGUCGAUACUGGAAGGCUCGAGUUCGGGAGAGGAAUGUGGAAUUCCAGGUGUAGCGGUGAAAUGCGUAGAUAUCUGGAGGAACACCGGUGGCGAAGGCGGCAUUCUGGACCGAAACUGACGCUGAGGCGCGAAAGCCAGGGGAGCAAACGGG